rnacentral:rRNA from 1 species
UACCAGCUCUCCGAGUGGUGUGGAUGUUUAUUGGGCCUAAAGCAUCCGUAGCUGGCUGGACAAGUCCCCUGUUAAAUCCACCGAUUUAAUCGUUGGUGUGCGGGGGAUACUGUUCGGCUAGGGGACGGGAGAGGCCGACGGUAUUUCCGGGGUAGGGGUGAAAUCCUAUAAUCCCGGGAAGACCACCAGUGGCGAAGGCUGUCGGCUAGAACGCGCCCGACGGUGAGGGAUGAAAGCUGGGGGAGCGAACCGGAUUAGAUACCCGGGUAGUCCCAGCUGUAAACGAUGCAGGCUAGGUGUUUGGGCGGCCACGUGCCGCUCUAGUGCCGCAAGGACGCUGUUAAGCCUGCCGCCUGGGGAGUACGGCCGCAAGGCUGAAACUUAAAGGAAUUGGCGGGGGAGCACCACAAGGGGUGAAGCUUGCGGUUU